rnacentral:rRNA from 1 species
AGUCUAGCAUGUGCGCGAGUCAUUGGGACUCAAUAAACCUAAAGGCGCAAUGAAAGUGAAAGUCUGUUUACGCGGACUUAGGGAGGAUAGGUGCGUACACAUUGUGUACAACCUCGCACUCCCGGGGCGUCUCGCACUCAUUGCGAGGUGGGGCGCACCAAGAGCGUACACGCUGGGACCCGAAAGAUGGUGAACUAUGCCUGGUCAGGACGAAGUCAGGGGAAACCCUGAUGGAGGUCCGUAGCGAUUCUGACGUGCAAAUCGAUCGUCGGAACUGGGCUUAGGGGCGAAAGACUAAUCGAACCAUCUAGUAGCUGGUUCCCACCGAAGUUUCCCUCAGGAUAGCUGGCACUAGAUUAUGGAUGAGUCUCAUCCGGUAAAGCGAAUGAUUAGAGGCAUUGGGGUCGAAACGGCCUCAACCUAUUCUCAAACUUUAAAUGGGUGAGAUCUCCGGCUUGCUCGAUUUAUGAAGCCGGAGAUCGGAUCAAUUAGUGCCAAGUGGGCCACUUUUGGUAAGCAGAACUGGCGCUGUGGGAUGAACCAAACGCAGAGUUAAAGCGCCAAAAUCGACGCUUAUGGGAUACCAUGAAAGGCGUUGGUAACUUAAGACAGCAGGACGGUGGCCAUGGAAGUCGGAA